rnacentral:rRNA from 1 species
AGGGUUCGAUCCUGGCUCAGGAUGAACGCUAGCUACAGGCUUAACACAUGCAAGUCGAGGGGCAUCAGGAAGAAAGCUUGCUUUCUUUGCUGGCGACCGGCGCACGGGUGAGUAACACGUAUCCAACCUGCCGAUGACUCGGGAAUAGCCUUUCGAAAGAAAGAUUAAUACCGGAUAGUAUACGAAUAUCGCAUGAUGUUUUUAUUAAAGAAUUUCGGUUAUCGAUGGGGAUGCGUUCCAUUAGUUUGUUGGCGGGGUAACGGCCCACCAAGACUACGAUGGAUAGGGGUUCUGAGAGGAAGGUCCCCCACAUUGGAACUGAGACACGGUCCAA